rnacentral:rRNA from 1 species
UACGAAGGUGGCAAGCGUUGUUCGGAUUUACUGGGCGUACAGGGAGCUUAGGCGGUUGGGUAAGCCCUCCGUGAAAUCUCCGGGCCCAACCCGGAAAGUGCGGAGGGGACUGCUCGGCUAGAGGAUGGGAGAGGAGCGCGGAAUUCCCGGUGUAGCGGUGAAAUGCGUAGAGAUCGGGAGGAAGGCCGGUGGCGAAGGCGGCGCACGGGAACAUUUCUGACGCUGAGGCUCGAAAGCGUGGGGAGCAAACAGG